rnacentral:rRNA from 1 species
CAUACCUAUUCGAAGGGAUAGGGUCGGCUCGGCCGGAUUUUACACAAGUGUUGCAUGGCUGUCGUCAGCUCGUGUCGUGAGAUGUUGGGUUAAGUCCCGCAACGAGCGCAACCCUCAUCCUUAGUUGCCAUCAGGUAAUGCUGAGUACUUUAAGGAAACUGCCAGUGAUAAGCUGGAGGAAGGUGGGGAUGAUGUCAAGUCAUCAUGGCUUUUAUGGAGUGGGCUACACACGUGCUACAAUGGUGUCUACAAUGGGUUACAAGGUGCGCAAGCCUAAGCUAAUCCCUAAAAGACAUCUCAGUUCGGAUUGUACUCUGCAACUCGAGUACAUGAAGUUGGAAUCGCUAGUAAUCGUGGAUCAGCAUGCCACGGUGAAUACGUUCUCGGGUCUUGUACACACUGCCCGUCACGCCAUGGGAAUUGGUUUCACUCGAAGCU